rnacentral:rRNA from 1 species
UUCCGGUUGAUCCCGCCGGACCUGACUGCUAUCGGAUUAAUACUAAGCCAUGCGAGUUUUUGUAGUAAUACAAGGCAUACGGCUCAGUAACACGUAGUCAACCUACCCUAUGGACGAGGAUAAUCUCGGGAAACUGAGCAUAAUACUCGAUAGAUCAUAAUGCCUGGAAUGGUUUAUGGUUGAAAUGAUUCGUUCGCCAUAGGAUGGGACUGCGGCCUAUCAGCUUGUUGGUGAGGUAAUGGCCCACCAAGGCGAUUACAGGUACGGGCUCUGAGAGGAGAAGCCCGGAGAUGGGUACUGAGACACGGGCCCAGGCCCUAUGGGGCGCAGCAGGCGAGAAAACUUUGCAAUGUGCGAAAGCACGACAAGGUUAGUCCGAGUGAUUUCUGCUAAAGAGAUCUUUUGCAAGUCAUAAAACCACUAGUGAAUAAGGGGUGGGCAAGUUCUGGUGUCAGCCGCCGCGGUAAAACCAGCACCUCAAGUGGUCAGGAGGAUUAUUGGGCCUAAAGCAUCCGUAGCCGGCUCUGUGAGUUUUCGGUUAAAUCCAUGCGCUCAACGCAUGGGCUGUCGGAAAUACUGCAGAGCUAGGGAGUGGGAGAGGUAGACGGUACUCGGUAGGAAGGGGUAAAAUCCUUUGAUCUAUCGAUGACCACCUGUGGCGAAGGCGGUCUACCAGAACACGUUCGACGGUGAGGGAUGAAAGCUGGGGGAGCAAACCGGAUUAGAUACCCGGGUAGUCCCAGCUGUAAACGAUGCAGACUCGAUGAUGCAUUGGCAUAUAGCCAGUGCAGUGUCGCAGGGAAGCCGUUAAGUCUGCCGCCUGGGAAGUACGUACGCAAGUAUGAAACUUAAAGGAAUUGGCGGGGGAGCACCACAAGGGGUGAAGCCUGCGGUUCAAUUGGAGUCAACGCCGGG